GACGAACGCUGGCGGCGUGCUUAACACAUGCAAGUCGAACGGUAAGGCCCUUCGGGGUACACGAGUGGCGAACGGGUGAGUAACACGUGGGUGAUCUGCCCUGCACUUCGGGAUAAGCCUGGGAAACUGGGUCUAAUACCGGAUAGGACCACUGCCUGCAUGGGCGGUAGUGGAAAGCUUUUGCGGUGUGGGAUGGGCCCGCGGCCUAUCAGCUUGUUGGUGGGGUGAUGGCCUACCAAGGCGACGACGGGUAGCCGGCCUGAGAGGGCGACCGGCCACACUGGGACUGAGAUACGGCCCAGAUUCCUACGGGGGGCAGCAGUGGGGAAUAUUGCACAAUGGGCGCAAGCCUGAUGCAGCGACGCCGCGUGGGGGAUGACGGCCUUCGGGUUGUAAACCUCUUUCAGCACCGACGAAGCGCAAGUGACGGUAGGUGCAGAAGAAGGACCGGCCAACUACGUGCCAGCCGCCGCGGUAA
rnacentral:rRNA from 1 species